UAAUACGGAGGGUCCAAGCGUUAUCCGGAUUCAUUGGGUUUAAAGGGUCCGUAGGCGGGUUUUUAAGUCAGUGGUGAAAUCCUACAGCUCAACUGUAGAACUGCCAUUGAUACUGGAAACCUUGAGUGUGAUUGAAGUGGGCGGAAUGUGUCAUGUAGCGGUGAAAUGCAUAGAUAUGACACAGAACACCGAUUGCGAAGGCAGCUCACUAAGUCACAACUGACGCUGAGGGACGAAAGCGUGGGUAGCGAACAGGAUUAGAUACCCUGGUAGUCCACGCUGUAAACGAUCAUCACUCGCUGUUGGCGAUACACAGUCAGCGGCCAAGCGAAAGCAUUAAGUGAUGCACCUGGGGAGUACGGUCGCAAGAUUG
rnacentral:rRNA from 1 species